rnacentral:rRNA from 1 species
AGUGAACGCUGGCGGUAGGCCUAACACAUGCAAGUCGAACGGCAGCACAGGAGAGCUUGCUCUCUGGGUGGCGAGUGGCGGACGGGUGAGGAAUACAUCGGAAUCUACUCUGUCGUGGGGGAUAACGUAGGGAAACUUACGCUAAUACCGCAUACGACCUACGGGUGAAAGCAGGGGAUCUUCGGACCUUGCGCGAGUGAAUGAGCCGAUGUCGGAGUAGCUAGUUGGCGGGGUAAAGGCCCACCAAGGCGACGAUCCGUAGCUGGUCUGAGAGGAUGAUCAGCCACACUGGAACUGAGACACGGUCCAGACUCCUACGGGAGGCAGCAGUGGGGAAUAUUGGACAAUGGGCGCAAGCCUGAUCCAGCCAUACCGCGUGGGUGAAGAUGGCCUUCGGGUUGUAAAGCCCUUUUGUUGGGAAAGAAAUCCAGCUGGCUAAUACCCGGUUGGGAUGACGGUACCCAAAGAAUAAGCACCGGCUAACUUCGUGCCAGCAGCCGCGAUA